rnacentral:tmRNA from 1 species
GGGGGUGAAACAGGAUCGACAUGCAUAGUAAAGGGGAUAGUUUUUGCCCGGUGAGAAAGCAGCCGUUUAAAUGCUCAAAAUUUAUAAGUGCAAACGAUAAUUUCGUUUUUGCAAAUGACAAUAAUAGCAGUGUUGCUGGCUUAGUGGCUGCUUAGUUUUGUCAUUAGCGCGGUUUUUUAGAGGGUUUCCCGGGCAACAGAAAAAUCCUCUUUU